GCUCAAAUUUGAAAUCUGGUCACCUUACGGAGGCCCGAGUUGUAAUUUGAAGAGGAUGCUUUUGGCGAGGUGCCUUCCGAGUGCCCUGGAACGGGACGCCACAGAGGGUGAGAGCCCCGUAUGGUUGGACACCGAGCCUAUGUAAAGCUCCUUCGACGAGUCGAGUAGUUUGGGAAUGCUGCUCAAAAUGGGAGGUAAACCCCUUCUAAAGCUAAAUAUUGGCCAGAGACCGAUAGCGCACAAGUAGAGUGAUCGAAAGAUGAAAAGCACUUUGAAAAGAGAGUUAAACAGCACGUGAAAUUGUUGAAAGGGAAGCGCUUGCGACCAGACUUGCGCCCGUCGGAUCAACCGUCGCUUGUCGGCGGCGCACUCCGGCGGGCUCAGGCCAGCAUCAGUUUUCCCGGGGGGAGAAAGGCGGUGGGAAUGUAGCUCCUAGGAGUGUUAUAGCCCGCCGCGUAAUACCCUCGGGGGGACUGAGGACCGCGCAUCUGCAAGGAU
rnacentral:rRNA from 1 species